rnacentral:rRNA from 1 species
GAUCAUGGCUCAGAUUGAACGCUGGCGGCAGGCCUAACACAUGCAAGUAGAACGGUAACAGGAAACAGCUUGCUGUUUCGCUGACGAGUGGCGGACGGGUGAGUAAUGUCUGGGAAACUGCCUGAUGGAGGGGGAUAACUACUGGAAACGGUAGCUAAUACCGCAUAACGUCGCAAGACCAAAGAGGGGGACCUUCGGGCCUCUUGCCAUCAGAUGUGCCCAGAUGGGAUUAG